UGAUGACUGUUCCUCCUGUCGCCUUUAGGUAUGGCGCUAGGAUUUUAGGUCAUCAUAAAUUAAAAUAGAUUUUUUUCACUCAGAGAAUAUUAAGAUGUUGGGAGGCACUUGGUCAUGUCUUUUAGCUCUCAUGGCUGAUUCUCUU
ensembl:snoRNA Gm24241 predicted gene, 24241